AUGUUAUUAUCCUGUCGUUGAACUCGAACGUGUAAAAUGUUCGCAAAUCUUGAAAUAAAUCGUGGAUUUAUGAAACGGAAUAUGUUUGCUUUGAUGGUAUCAAUCGUAAUAGGUACCUAUGUAAUGAUACGUUUUAAGCAAACUUUGCAACUGCCACCAUCCACGGAAAUGCCAUAAACUACGCAAGCGCCACCAAAGGAGUUUUGUACAAAAACUAUCCCCCCCGCUGAGUAUACCAUAUGUACAUGGGAUGUACAGAUAGACGGUAUAGUUUCCGGGGUAAUACACAGUACAGGCCAAUGGGAGACGCAUAUAACACGUAAACUUUACACUGUUCUAAAACAAGAUAGAAAUAUAACAUUUAUUGAUAUUGGUGCUAACAUUGGUUAUUUUAGUUUACUCGCUGCUUCAGUAGGACAAACGGUGAUUUCAGUGGAGCCCUGGAACGAGAAUAUAGAAAAGUUACGAAUUUCCAUUCGAAAGAACAAAUUUGAAGGCAGGAUAACUAUUUUGAAUAACGCUGUUUCAAACGAUCGGCGAUUGAUACAUUUUCAUGCACCAUACAAGAAUAACCUAGGUGCUACAAGAUUGUUGCCCGAUCCGACUAAGACUGAUAUCAAUGUUUUUUUCAGCUACGACUAUUAUUUUAAACGAUCUGGUAAACUACAUCCAUACUUAAGAUAUCGUCAUUAAAAUAGACAUAGAAGGUAAUGAAUGCAGAGCGCUAGAGAAGUCGAAAGAAAUAUUUGAUAAAUUCAAUGUUUUAUUCAUAUCUAUGGAAUGGGUCGUGAUGAAGAAGUUUGAACAUGAGAUUAACACCGCUUGUUCACGGGAAAAUAUAGAGCAGAUGGUGGACUUUUUGACAAAACAGAGCUUUGUGCCUUUUGGCGCUUCCAAUAAUUUACCACUAAAUCCUAAAGAGAAUAAAAAAUGGACAGAAGUCGACGUAUACUGGAAACCAAAAUAUGCAUAACGUUAAAUACAAUGUUUACAUAAAAAAGCUUAGCUGUGGAAUUUACACUUUGAAAUAUGCUUUCAAAACAACCUGAGAAUUCAAAACUAGAUUGUUAGUUUUCUUUAGAAGAUUAGCAAGAACAGUAAGAGCAGAGUUGUGGUCAUUUUCCAACAUCUUCAAAACAAUCGAAUUCAUUUUAACAAAAAGGAUAUGUAUUGCAUUUGUGUUAUCAGUGUUAUCAAAAUGUUUAUGACAUUGCAGAAUGAACCAGAUGUGUUUACUUCUGACAACUUGUGAAAUAUGUUUAAUAUAUAUAUGCAACACAACUUUUAAGCACAAUCCGUAUUUUUCACUUAGUCAACGACCAUAACUCUGAUCUGUCUGAGUGUAAUCCCAAACAGAACACCAGUUGCACAACUUCACAUGCUAUUCAACAAUCCUUUAUUAUGUUUUAUUACUGUAGGCCAAGGACAUUUUGAUAUAUUUGGAAAAAUAUUAUGCUCUAAAUGCAUAUUUUGAACUAAGCCAUAAACCGUGACAUUAGUCAUACAGCUCGAUAUAUUAUUAUACAAGAUGCAGGAGUUUCAAUGCUGUAUAAUAUUCCUACAUGAUUCCAUGACUCAAACUAUUGUUUCAAGAUUAAUAUAUAUGACACACAAACAUGUAUUCCAUUUAGUACAUAUUUUUGACAAUCAAGCGCUAUAAGUCUAAUCUGACCGAUAGAAAGUCAAACAUGGCCAAAGGUACAUACGGUAAUGAUAUUUCAUUGGUGUUUUAUUAUCCAAAGUCAAACAUUUUUUGAGAAAUAUUCGAAACAAUCUUUUAGGCCCAUUUUAAAGCUUAUGUUUUACAAAUACAAGGGCCUGCACUUUGGUCUGGCUGAGAAAUAUCUCCUAACAAAACCCCUGGUGCAUACUAUUUUAUGUUCAGUGAUAGUCUUGUAAAUUUUCCUAAUCAUAGGUCAUAUACAUUUUAAGAUACAUGGAAAACUAACUUUAAGACCUUUUUUUAAUAUAAACAAUCAAGGGCCAUGCUAUUUAAUCUAUGAUAAUUCAGGAACUUGUUAUUAUGUAUGUUGCAUUCUGUUUUUAACUGACUGAAAGUUUUAAAACUAUUUGUGAAAUUCUCAA